rnacentral:rRNA from 1 species
GAUGAACGCUGGCGGCGUGCCUAAUACAUGCAAGUCGAACGAGGUGCUUUUGUAGCAAUACGAGAGUAUCCUAGUGGCGAACGGGUGAGUAACGCGUUGGUGACCUGCCCCAAAGUGCGGGAUAACAGUCCGAAAGGAUUGCUAAUACCGCAUGUGGUUAUCGGGUUUAGAAACCGAUAACUAAAGAAGCAAUUCGCUUUGGGAGGGAACUGCGUCCCAUCAGCUAGUUGGUGAGGUAACGGCUCACCAAGGCGACGACGGGUAGGGGACCUGAGAGGGUGACCCCCCACAAUGGAACUGAAACACGGUCCAUACACCUACGGGUGGCAGCAGUAGGGAAUAUUGCACAAUGGGCGAAAGCCUGAUGCAGCAACGCCGCGUGUGCGAUGAAGGCCUUCGGGUCGUAAAGCGCUUUUCUGCGAGAUGAGAAAGGACAGUAUCGUAGGAAUAAGUCUCGGCUAACUACGUGCCAGCCGCCGCAGUAAGAC